rnacentral:rRNA from 1 species
CCUACGGGAGGCAGCAGUGAGGAAUAUUGGUCAAUGGACGGAAGUCUGAACCAGCCAUGCCGCGUGCAGGAAGACGGCUCUAUGAGUUGUAAACUGCUUUUGUACAAGGGUAAACCUGAAUACGUGUAUGCAGCUGAAAGUACUGUACGAAUAAGGAUCGGCUAACUCCGUGUCAGCAGCCGCGGUAAUACGGAGGAUCCAAGCGUUAUCCGGAUUUAGUGGGGUGAAAGGGUGCGUCGGCGGAUUGAUAAGUUAGAGGGGAAAUGUCCGAGCUCAACUCGGGAACUGCCUCUAAUACUGUUGAUCUAGCGCGUAGCUGCGGUAGGCGGAAUGUCUGGUGUAGCGGU